CAACGGUGAGUGGACAUCUGUUAAUCUUGCUCAUGAAUAAUCGGAGAAGAAUGACUAUCUUCCAGAACGAUGGGUGAAUCUGACCAAGGUGCACCUCGUACCUUUUGCAGAAAUGGAUGAACACUGGUUCCAACAAACCCAACAUAAAGGAAUAAGUGUAAUCACUUAACUAUCCCUUAACAUGGGUUGUGAUAUCUUCUCGGGACCGGGAACCACGCAUCUUUUCCGGCUCAGUUGUAGUCAAAGAUGUGUAUGAAGGGUCUCUUUGGUGAUUGAGCAAAUAUACCUCGAUACUUUAUCACCCCGUGAAGGAUUUUCAACUUUGAAGUCGAUGGUCACCGAGCACCCGCCAGGAAUAAACGCGCAAAGAGGAGCUUCCACCACUGGUUCCUUACCGGCCGGCCAUGAUGAAAAAACAGUUACUUUUUGAGGAAGUGUCUUAUAAGUAUUCGCCAUUUCCUUUUGAAUAAAGAUGAAGGAGGAGAAGUUAAAAGGGUACGUUUAAUGGUUUAAACAAGCAAGAGUUCUUACAAAGAUCUCAAGGAAUCUUGGUAUAAGUGCUAGAAAAUGCAAAGAUUUUUAAGAACAAG
rnacentral:lncRNA from 1 species